rnacentral:rRNA from 1 species
GACAGCAGCCGCCGCGGUAAUACAGAGGGUGCGAGCGUUAAUCGGAUUUACUGGGCGUAAAGCGUGCGUAGGCGGCUUUUUAAGUCGGAUGUGAAAUCCCUGAGCUUAACUUAGGAAUUGCAUUCGAUACUGGGAAGCUAGAGUAUGGGAGAGGAUGGUAGAAUUCCAGGUGUAGCGGUGAAAUGCGUAGAGAUCUGGAGGAAUACCGAUGGCGAAGGCAGCCAUCUGGCCUAAUACUGACGCUGAGGUACGAAAGCAUGGGGAGCAAACAGGAUUAGAUACCCGAGUAGUCCCUGUCUCUUAUAC